GGGAAAAAAAGAAAAAGAAAAAGAUAACGGAGUCAAUGGAGAAGAAGCAAAUGGAUGGAAACAAAGAAAUCUGGGAAUGGAAACAAGACAAAAAUGAAGAGAUGGCUGCAAAUCAAAAGGUAGAGGCUGGGUAGCUCAAAUCUGUUCUCCUAACAGAUUUGAUUUGUCUUUUCAUUUUGAUUUUCAACACAAAACAAGCUCUCUGAAUGUUAGGAAUCCUUUUUUAUUUUCAAAAGAAAAAAC
rnacentral:lncRNA from 1 species